UGUCCCUACGGGAGGCAGCAGUAGGGAAUCUUCCACAAUGGACGAAAGUCUGAUGGAGCAACGCCGCGUGAGUGAAGAAGGGUUUCGGCUCGUAAAGCUCUGUUGGUAGUGAAGAAAGAUAGAGGUAGUAACUGGCCUUUAUUUGACGGUAAUUACUUAGAAAGUCACGGCUAACUACGUGCCAGCAGCCGCGGUAAUACGUAGGUGGCAAGCGUUGUCCGGAUUUAUUGGGCGUAAAGCGAGUGCAGGCGGGUCCAUAAGUCUGAUGUGAAAGCCUUCGGCUCAACCGGGGAAUUUCAUCCGAA
rnacentral:rRNA from 1 species